rnacentral:rRNA from 1 species
UACGGAGGAUCCGAGCGUUAUCCGGAUUUAUUGGGUUUAAAGGGUGCGUAGGCGGUCAGGUAAGUUAGAGGUGAAAGCUCGAUGCUCAACAUCGAAACUGCCUCUGAUACUGUCUGACUAGAGUGUAGUUGCGGAAGGCGGAAUGUGUGGUGUAGCGGUGAAAUGCUUAGAUAUCAGGAGGAACAUCGGUGGCGUAAGCGCUUUACUGGGCCGUAAUUGACGCUGAGGAACGAAAGCCAGGGUAGCAAAUGGG